rnacentral:rRNA from 1 species
UACGGGGGGGCAAGCGUUGUUCGGAAUUACUGGGCGUAAAGGGCUCGUAGGCGGCCAACUAAGUCAGACGUGAAAUCCCUCGGCUUAACCGGGGAACUGCGUCUGAUACUGGAUGGCUAGAGUGUGGGAGAGGGAUGCGGAAUUCCAGGUGUAGCGGUGAAAUGCGUAGAUAUCUGGAGGAACACCGGUGGCGAAGGCGGCAUCCUGGACCACGACUGACACUGAAAAGCGAAAGCCAGGGGAGCAAACGGG